AGCGAACGCUGGCGGCAGGCUUAACACAUGCAAGUCGAACGCCCCGCAAGGGGAGUGGCAGACGGGUGAGUAACACGUGGGAACGUACCCUUUGGUUCGGAAUAACUUGGGGAAACUCAAGCUAAUACCGGAUAAGCCCUUAUGGGGAAAGGUUUACUGCCGAAGGAUCGGCCCGCGUCUGUUUAGCUAGUUGGUGAGGUAAUGGCUCACCAAGGCGACGAUCAGUAGCUGGUCUGAGAGGAUGAUCAGCCACACUGGGACGGAGACACGGCCCAGACUCCUACGGGAGGCAGCAGUGAGGAAUAUUGGACAAUGGGGGCAACCCUGAACCAGCCAUGCCGCGUGAGUGAUGAAGGCCUUAGGGUUGUAAAGCUCUUUUACCCGGGACGAUAAUGACUGUACCGGGAGAAUAAGCCCCGGCUAACUUCGUGCCAGCCGCCGCCGUAA
rnacentral:rRNA from 1 species